CCUACGGGCGGCAGCAGUGGGGGAUAUUGCACAAUGGGGGAAACCCUGAUGCAGCGACGCCGCGUGUAGGAAGACGGUCCUCUGGAUUGUAAACUACUGUCCCCAGGGACGAAGAUGACGGUACCUGGGGCGGAAGCUCCGGCUAACUACGUGCCAGCAGCCGCGGUAAUACGUAGGGAGCGAGCGUUGUCCGGAAUUACUGGGUGUAAAGGGAGCGUAGGCGGGGAUGCAAGUUGGGUGUUAAAUCUACCGGCUCAACUGGUAGUCGCACUCAAAACUGCAGCUCUUGAGUGAAGUAGAGGCAGGCGGAAUUCCUAGUGUAGCGGUGAAAGGCGUAGAUAUUAGGAGGAACACCAGUGGCGAAGGCGGCCUGCUGGGCUUUGACUGACGCUGAGGCUCGAAAGUGUGGGGAGCAAACAGGAUUAGAUACCCGAGUAGUC
rnacentral:rRNA from 1 species